AGCGAACGCUGGUGGCAGGCCUAACACAUGCAAGUCGAACGAAGUCUUCGGACUUAGUGGCGGACGGGUGAGUAACACGUGGGAACGUGCCUUUAGGUUCGGAAUAACUCAGGGAAACUUGUGCUAAUACCGAAUGUGCCCUUCGGGGGAAAGAUUUAUCGCCUUUAGAGCGGCCCGCGUCUGAUUAGCUAGUUGGUGAGGUAAAGGCUCACCAAGGCUACGAUCAGUAGCUGGUCUGAGAGGAUGACCAGCCACAUUGGGACUGAGCAACGGCCCAAACUCCUACGGGAGGCAGCAGUGGGGAAUCUUGCGCAAUGGGCGAAAGCCUGACGCAGCCAUGCCGCGUGGAUGAUGAAGGUCUUAGGAUUGUAAAAUCCUUUCACCGGUGAAGAUAAUGACUGUAGCCGGAGAAGAAGCCCCGGCUAACUUCGUGCCAGCCGCCGCGGUAAUAC
rnacentral:rRNA from 1 species